CAUUUUUCAAGAAAUUCGGGUGUCCCACUCGGACAUACAAUGCUAAAACGCCGCUACAUUGCUGCUGCUGGUUGGAAGCUUGUGUCCGUGCCGCACCAAGAAUGGGAAGAACUUCAGGGCGAAUUCGAGCAGCUGGAUUACCUAAGAAGAAUCCUCGAUUAUCACAUUUGUAAAGAGAGAGAGCAUCACUCGGUCUGGUGAAUUGGGUUAAAGUGUGUUAAAAGGUUUCCCUGGUCGAGGACAAAUGAGUGUCACUCUUCACUUGAGUUAGCUGUUGCUGUUUCCGAGUACAGGUACAUAUGAAGAUACAAGCUCAAAGACUCUUGUCCACGGGCUCCUGCUUU